GACGAACGCUGGCGGCGUGCCUAAUACAUGCAAGUCGAACGCAGUGGGGACGGGUGAGUAACACGUGGGUAACCUCCCAUCAGAGGGGAUAAAACUUGGAAACAGGUGCUCAACCGAAAUUGAUGGAUGGACCCGCGUGGCAUUAGCUAGUUGGUGAGGUAACGGCUCACCAAGGCAACGAUGCAUAAACGACCGGGUAGGUGGAUGGGCAACACUGGGACUGAGAAACGGACCAUACACCUACGGGAGGCAGCAGUAGGGAAUCUUCGGCAAUGGACGAAAGUCUGACCGAGCAACGCCGCGUGAGUGAAGAAGGUUUUCGGAUCGUAAAACUCUGUUGUUAGAGAAGCGGUAUCUAACCAGAAAGCCACGGCUAACUACGUGCCAGCCGCCGCGGUAAUAC
rnacentral:rRNA from 1 species